GUCAGUGUAGCGUAGUGGUUUGAGUGUUGGACUAUGACUCUACACUACAGACUAAGGUUCAAUUCCUCACUUGGCCA